rnacentral:tRNA from 1 species
ACGGGAUUGGUGGAAUUGGUAGACACAUCGUGUUUAAGUCUCGAUGUCGAAAGACGUAGGAGUUCGAGUCUCCUAUCCCGUA